CCUGCCCUUAGAGGCAUUGAGGGUGUGGCUGGUGUGUCACUAAUGUGUCAGUAGGUGACAGAGAGGACAGACACUGUCUAUGCUCAGAGUUCUGACCUGUGAAUCUCUGAAUGAUGAGUAACCUAACGCU